UACGUAGGGGGCAAGCGUUGUCCGGAUUUAUUGGGCGUAAAGAGCGUGUAGGCGGCUUUACAGGUCCGUUGUGAAAACUCGAGGCUCAACCUCGAGACGCCGGUGGAAACCGUAAAGCUAGAGUCCGGAAGAGGAGAGUGGAAUUCCUGGUGUAGCGGUGAAAUGCGUAGAUAUCAGGAGGAACACCGGUGGUGUAGACGGCUUUCUGGACCGUAACUGACGCUGAGACACGAAAGCGUGGGUAGCAAACAGG
rnacentral:rRNA from 1 species